GAUUUUCCUGCUUGUUGUACCGGUACAGCCAUCAUGGCGUACCGGUACACUAUACUGAUGCCGCGUAAUCUGCUCUCGGGUUGCUUCCUGUACCGGUACGCAAUCCCGUGUACCGGUACACCAGGGUAGGUGAGAGGGUGUUUUGGUCUUUUCUCUCCCUCGUUUGUAUCACCAAGCCUCUCUCUCUCUAUUUAGCCUUGUGAGGACAGAGAGAGGGAGUUCCUCUGUUGCUACUUCCUCUCUCUCACUCUCCAACAGAUCUUAGGCUAGGGAGGAGCACGGUUGAGCCGGGGAUUCGCCGACGUCGCACCGCGAGCCGUUCGAGCGAGCGUUUGUUGCCGGGGCAUUGCGAAGAGGCCGGGCGAGGGUGCGUCUUCGCCGUCCUGGACAUCGCGCCGAGGAUUGUCGCUGUNNNNNNNNNNNNNNNNNNNNNNNNNACGGGUGUGUUCACAGUCCCAGGGACGGGUAUGUCUACAGUCCCGAUUGGAUUGGGUCAGAUUUGACAUUUCCUACAGUUGGUUAGUGUAGAGCAUGAUAGUAUAGUGAUUUGUAGCGGUUGAGUUUGUUUCCUGCUUUUCCUACUAUUCUUGCUCCCUCCUGUAGACUUAGUGGGUGGACCGAUGUUGUUUUGGGCGGUACCCACUGAGGACUACUUAUUUUUAUAGUAGUUCUCACGCCCAGUUGUUACCCCUGUUUUGCAGAGCCACAGGUUUCGGCUACUGCGCCUUCCGCAGAUCAGGAUCGAGGCAAAGGCGUCGCGAGUUAGAGCCCUACCCGACGUGCUGAGCUAGAGGUGCCCCUACUGCAGGUAGAUGUUUUGUUCGAGUUUAUGUACAUAGUGGACCUAACUCGCCAGUGCGAGUAGCUUUGUAUAUUGGAUUUGGACUAUGUAUAUGAAACUCAGUUGGUUUAGUUUCUGUUUCUCUAGCAGCUCCCUACUACUAUUCGUAGUAGUGUUUGAUUUACAGGUACAGCUAUCGCUUCGUAUACAGGGGAAAUUCCUUUGUAUACGGCGGAUUUGUCGGCGUGCCCGGGGAAAGUGUAAUCCGGGGCGUGACAGUACUGCAAACUUUCGAAGAAAUUUAGAAUAAGCCAAGUCAUUUAGAUCAAGGUGUGCCUCAAAAUCAGACACACCAUCAGGAUUGUAGGUCAUAGAGAAGGAAACGCCAUGAGGGCGUAAGCCUACAAUGGCGGCUACAUCAAAAAGAGUGGGGGUAAGAGGCCCUCUUUUGAAAAGAAAAACAUUAGAAACAGGGGACCAGAAACAAAGAGCGGCAGCUAGAAGAAGAUUAUCGGCUAUAGGAGGGUGCUGAGAUAAUUGAAUUGCUUCAUAAAUGCCGAUUUCCCGCCAAAAGGCGCCAAAAACGGGUUCUACUCUAUCUAACCAGGCCAAAUAUGCUUCGGAAACGCUUGGCCAAGUUCUAAGACUCUUUCCUCUCGAAGCUGAUGAGUACCAAGAGUGGAGAUGAAUAAUCCUCUUCAAAGGAAGUCCCUUAUCAGAGAAAGGAGAGUCAGUAGGAGAUGGUGCAUCUAUAAGAGAAUGACCUAAUAUGAAUCUAGAUGGAUCUAAGUCAACGAAAGGUUUGAGUACAGUAUAGUCAAGAGAUGGAUGAGAAGGAAGAGGAGGAACCAAAGACAUCGUUCAAAAGAAGAGAAGAGCCGAGAGAGUCGGUUACGAAAAGCAAAGAAGAAUGAAGGAGACUAAGAAGAGGUUUUAGUAAAGAAGACGAAGAAAAGGAACAAGAAUUAGAAGAGACAAAAAGAAUGGAAAGCUUGGGGAAGAAGAAGAGGCCGUUGUAUUGAAUUGACGCAUCGAUUACGAGUCCCAAGAUCGGCUAUAAUUGUAGUAUCCUUAUUUCUUUAUCUUUUCUUUUCCUUUUUCUUUUUAUUUCUUUUGAGUUGGUAAGCAUGCUGGGGAUAAGGAUGCCACGUGCACCUUACCCCCAAGCAUGCUUAUCACCUUAAUACUUGUGCAUAGUUUAUAUAUAAUUCUUGAGCCUCUACGCAUAUAGUUCUUGAGCCGUACGUAGAGGAGGAGCUCAGGUGGUGUGGAGUUUCGUCGACGUCGCGCAGCGGUGCCGUUCGAGCGUGUGUUCGUCGUCGUAGCAUCGCGAGGGGGGCCGGGCGAGGGUCCGAUUCUGCCGUUUUUGUUGUCGCGCCGGAUUGUGAUUAGCGUUUGAGGUGGGUUACAUCGGUUUUACUCCUAAGUUCUUAUUGGUCGACAUGUAUAGAUCUUGAUUUCGGUCAUUAAUUUAGCUCAAAUUCAUGGACUAUAUGUAGAUUGUGAAAUCUGAAUUUUGGAGCAUAUUUUAUAAAUUAAGUAGAUCAUACAUAUUGGACUUGGAAAUUGAAUUAGGAGAAAACCUACGAUUUGGACCUGUCACCAGUUUUAACUACCUGAUUUAGCUCUAGGAGCCGUUAGAAAAUUGUACUGUCGCAGUUAUUCGAGACGAGUACUCCAGGUAGUUUAGAAUGUAUUUACACUCGUGCUCGUCCGCCGAGUGGAUUUUUACAGGGUCGUUCAG
rnacentral:lncRNA from 1 species